rnacentral:rRNA from 1 species
UACGGGGGGAGCAAGCGUUGUUCGGAUUUACUGGGCGUAAAGGGCGCGUAGGCGGCCACCGCAAGUCGCCUGUGAAAUCUCCGGGCUUAACUCGGAAAGGUCAGCCGAUACUGCGGGGCUAGAGUGCAGAAGGGGCAACUGGAAUUCUCGGUGUAGCGGUGAAAUGCGUAGAUAUCGAGAGGAACACCUGCGGCGAAGGCGGGUUGCUGGGCUGACACUGACGCUGAGGCGCGAAAGCUAGGGGAGCGAACGGG